rnacentral:rRNA from 1 species
CGAGCACGCGCGUGUGGCAUAUCAAUAAGCGGAGGAAAAGAAACUAACAAGGAUUCCCUUAGUAACGGCGAGUGAGGCGGGAAGAGCUCAAAUUUGAAAUCUUCAAGGUUCUACCUUGACGAAUUGUAGUUUAUAGAAGUGUUUUCUGUUAGUGGAGUGGCAAAAGUUCUUUGGAAUAGGACAUCAUAGAGGGUGAGAAUCCCGUAUUUGGUCAUUCCUCCUAGCGUUGUGAUACACUUUCAACGAGUCGGAUUGUUUGGGAAUGCAGUCCAAAAUGGGUGGUAAAUUUCAUCUAAAGCUAAAUAUUGGCGAGAGACCGAUAGCGAACAAGUACCGUGAGGGAAAGAUGAAAAGAACUUUGAAAAGAGAGUUAAACAGUACGUGAAAUUGUCAAAAGGGAAGCGUUUGACACCAGUGUUGUUUUUCCGAAAAUCAAUUACGAAUGUUUUGUUUUUGAGGAGUUAUGACUUCAUCGGCUUGCUCCUUUCUUUAUGAAACUUUCUUAAUGCACUUUUCGGUUAACAAGUCAACAUCAAUUUCUUUUGUUGUAAAAGGGUAUGAGGAAGGUGGCUUUCUUUUCGGAGAAAGUGUUUAUAGCCUUGUACCUCUGCAAUCGGAGGGAUUGAGGUCUGCAGCGUAGAUCCUUCGGGGUUAGAUACAUUUGUGCUAAGUUAUAGCUUUUCAUAGACAACUUGUUGACUAUGUUAAGUCUUGUAGCUUACUCGCUUAUGCUAUUUUACCUACGCUUAGGAUGUUGAUGUGAUACUGCGAGCA